rnacentral:tRNA from 1 species
GGGCAAGUGGCGGAACGGUAUACGCUGUGGACUUAAAAUCCAUUCUCCGCAAGGGGGUGAGGGUUCGACUCCCUCCUUGCCCA